UACGAAGGGGGCUAGCGUUGUUCGGAAUUACUGGGCGUAAAGCGUGCGCAGGCGGUUUUGUAAGCCAGAUGUGAAAGCCCCGGGCUCAACCUGGGAAUGGCAUUUGGGACUGCAAGGCUGGAGUACGGCAGAGGGAGGUGGAAUUCCACGUGUAGCAGUGAAAUGCGUAGAGAUGUGGAGGAACACCGAUGGCGAAGGCAGCCUCCUGGGCUAGUACUGACGCUCAUGCACGAAAGCGCGGGGAGCAAACAGG
rnacentral:rRNA from 1 species